rnacentral:rRNA from 1 species
UACGGAGGGUGCAAGCGUUAUCCGGAUUUACUGGGUUUAAAGGGUGCGUAGGCGGGCUUUUAAGUCAGGGGUGAAAGCUCCGAGCUUAACUCGGAAACUGCCAUUGAUACUAUUGGUCUUGAAUUCGGUCGAGGUUGGCGGAAUGUGUCGUGUAGCGGUGAAAUGCUUAGAUAUGACACAGAACACCGAUUGCGAAGGCAGCUAGCUAGACCGACAUUGACGCUGAGGCGCGAAAGCGUGGGGAUCAAACAGG